AGCUCCAAUAGCAUAUAUUAAAGUUGUUGCAGUUAAAAAGCUCGUAGUUGGAUUUCUGGCAUGAUGCGCCUGGCCCGCAGCUAAUAGCUUGUGUGUGCCGGUGUGCGUCUGCCAUCCAUUUGCACUCUGUGCCUUCCCUUCAUUGGGCCGGGCAUAUGAUGCAAAUCUUUUACUUUGAAAAAAUUAGAGUGUUUAAAGCAGGCAUUUGCUAUGAAUACAUUAGCAUGGAAUAAUAAUCUAGGACUUCGGUUUUAUUUUGUUGGUUUCUAAAUCUGGAGUAAUGAUUGAUAGGGAUAGUUGGGGGUGCUAGUAUUAAGGGGCCAGAGGUGAAAUUCUUGGAUUCUCUUAAGACUAACUUAUGCGAAAGCAUUCACCAAGGAUGUCUUCUUUA
rnacentral:rRNA from 1 species